AUUGAACGCUGGCGGCAUGCUUUACACAUGCAAGUCGAACGGUAACAGGGAGCUUGCUCCGCUGACGAGUGGCGAACGGGUGAGUAAUGCGUCGGAACGUGCCGAGUAGUGGGGGAUAACGCAUCGAAAGGUGUGCUAAUACCGCAUACGAACUGAGGUUGAAAGUGGGGGACCUUCGGGCCUCACGCUAUUCGAGCGGCCGACGUCUGAUUAGCUAGUUGGUGAGGUAAAGGCUCACCAAGGCGGCGAUCAGUAGCGGGUCUGAGAGGAUGAUCCGCCACACGGGGAGUGAGACACGGCCCAGACUCCUACGGGAGGCAGCAGUGGGGAAUUUUGGACAAUGGGCGCAAGCCUGAUCCAGCCAUGCCGCGUGUCUGAAGAAGGCCUUCGGGUUGUAAAGGACUUUUGUCCGGGAGCAAAUGCUGGUGGCUAACAUCCACCGGAGCUGAGAGUACCGGAAGAAUAAGCACCGGCUAACUACGUGCCAGCCGCCGCAGUAACAC
rnacentral:rRNA from 1 species